GGCCGCUUGCGGCCUUAGCAGCCGGUCCUCCAGAGGUAGCAGGCUUUUUGAGCAUAUGUACACAUCUUUGGCUUUGCUUUCGAAUUUUUCUAACUCUUUGCGGUUUUAUUUUCAGCUGAAGCUAUGGACCACCACUAGUAGAAAAAUUGAAAAAGGCACCCCCUUUUCCCACCGAUUCUUAAAAACCGGUGGGAAAAGAUUUGGGCGGGAUUCGGAUAUUUACUUUUCGCAGCGGUUCUUUUGAAACCGGUGGCAAAUGUGUUGUUAAAAAAAAAAGGGGUAAAUGGAUAUGCCACCGGUUCAACCCAAACCGGUGGAAAAAGUACGCAAAUUAAAAAAAAAUCCGUGAAAUACUCUUCUUCUUCAAUUCCUUCAGCACGAACAAUUUCAUUCCCCUGCUUCCCCUUCAAUUAAUCUUCUUCUCUCGUUCUAGCCUGCCCUCACCAUCUCCUUCACGCAUAGGUUGUCCUCCAUUGAAGCGCAUUCCCUGGGCUUUCUCACCUCCAUUGCCGCGCAACUCCUCUCUUUCUCUCCAUAUAUAGCUAUCUCCUCUAUUGAAGCGCAUACUGUCGAGCUUUGUGACCUCCAUUGAAGCGCAUUCUGAGCUUUCCAACUCCAUUGUAGCAGCUUCGAGGUAAGAAAUAUUUCGUGGUCUUCCUAGUCUAUUGAAUAGCUUCGCAAUCUAGGGUUAGUCGUUGAUUUAAGGUUUUCUGUUCUUUGUGGUUUGGUUUUGUGACUUUAAUUUCGAGUUGUGCAUUCAACAAUAGUUCAUUGUUUUAGGGUUUUCUGUUCUUUACGGUUUGCUUUGAGAUUUUGGGUGGAUUCUCCUAUGCUUAAAAUGUGAACAUGGAUCGAAUGACUUUCUUCAAUACAAUCUUUGAUGUUGUGUGUGGUCUUUUGUCUUUAUCCACCAGUAUUAUGUUUGCAAAUCAUGUAGCUUCCAUUAAUUGUUAUGUCUACUGCUCCUUGUUCACUGUCUUUUUGUUCUGUGUUAAGUUGUGUGUUAAAUUUAUUAUUUCUGCCUUCAUGGAAUUCUGUUGUAAAAUAGUUCAAACCCUCUGUUACUGUUAGUUAUACUUCCUCUUUCAGGGAAUAUAAUCAUAAAAAAUAAAAAUUGGUACCGUUAUAAAAUUGGCAUGAUGAAGGCAAUAUGCUAUACUUCCUCUUUCAGGGAAUAUAUUUUGUUGAUCAUUGAAUAGGUUUGCCUAUUUGGUAUGCUUGAUCAUUUGAGUUGAUUGAUUACCAAUUUUUUCGAAUUCGGUUAUUUGUUUGGUUUGAUUCUUGUUGAGCAUGCAGUUGCUUAUUGGCUGUUGACUAAUCGGGGAUCAAGUUAGCUGAAUAUAAAGGUUUUGCGCUAUUCAAUUUUUUUGAAUUAGGGUAUUUUUUGGUUUGAUUCUUGAGCAUGCAGUUUUUUGUUAGCUGUUGAAUAUUUGGUGAUCAAGUUGGCUGAAUAAAAAGGUUUCGGUUAAUUGAGGAUUGAUCUAUUGGCUCAUUGAUUAUAAAAUUCUUCAAACUUAGGGUUUUUGGUUUGAUUUUUGAUUAUUAGAAAGGCUUGCAGGAUUGGUGUUUGAUCUCUAGAGCUGUUAUGACUUAACGUUUUGUCUGUUGCUGCAUUGUCCUUUGUUACAUAAAAAUGUGGCAGAGUUUUGGGCAGCUACUUUUGCAAUUUUUUCAAGCUUGUGAAUAUUACCAGUUAUCACCAAAAGUUAUCCACAAACCUAUCUUACCCAAAAAAAAUUUGGGUAAACAUAUAAAUUCUAUAUAACUAAUCUGAUAUUGUAGUUUGUUUGACUUGGUAUUAAUUAAUUUCUGAUUAGUGAUUAAUUUUACAAAUAUUAUUAUUGUUAAUGGUGCUUUUUAGUGACUAAUAUGGCUAAAUACCCGUACACCGGGACUUGCAAAGAAAAAAUUGCCUUGCGGUGAGGAGAUGGGUAUAUGAUUGAAGUUUGAGGUUUGAAGUUAUCAUAAUUAGUUGAUUUAUUUGUGGAAUUUCCUUUGCCUUGACUUGCUUCUUUGCUGUUAAGUUAUUGGUGAUCAAGUGGGUUAUUUGCCGGCUUUGUCUUCAGAAGCAAUUUCUUGUAUAUUAGAGAUCUCCAAAAUAUAAUGCAGUGAGAUUCCUUCUUGCUACAAUCUGUGGACUGGUUCUUGGCUCCAUAUUCUGGGAUAUUGGUUCAAAAAGGCUCUUGUUGAAGUUCCAUACAUUGCUGCACAGACGUUAUCAUAUGGCAUCAUCACUUACUUCAUGAUUGGUUUUGAAAGGACAAUAAGAAAAUUUCUGCUGUACCUUGUCUUUACAUUCCUUACUUUCACUUACUUCACCUUUUAUGGUAUGAUGGCUGUCGGCCUUACACCUACGCAGCAUAUGGCAGCCAUCAUAUCUUCUGCAUUUUACUCACUUUGGAAUCUAUUUUCUGGUUUUCUUAUUCCCAAGAGUGUAAGUGCUGUUUCUGUCUUUCUUACUGCUGCCAAGUUUUUCUGUCAAGCUAGUUGGCAUCAUGGCUUCUGGUUUAAUGUACUUCACACAUCUUGUACUAAGUCUUUCUCUUUUUCUUUUUUUUUUUAACUCAUUUGUUAGUAUAUCCCUAGCUGGUGGAUUUGGUUCUAUUACAUCUGCCCUGUAGCAUGGACACUACGUGGACUUAUUUCAUCACAGCUUACUGAUGUUGAGACCAUCAUCGUUACAGAAGGGUUUAAGGGCUUGGUCAAAGAGUAUCUGGAUCUCCAUUAUGGCUUUAACUCUGAAAUGAUUGGUAUAUCAGCUGUUGUUCUUAUUGGCUUUUCUCUCCUUUUCUCUGGCGCCUUCAUGGCUUCUAUCAGAUUCCUCAACUUCCAGAGAAGAUAAGAAAGAACACAUUCAUUUGUUGGCCACUGCUGGUGAGAAAUAGAUUAAAAUGAGGUUUAUUCCUUCAAAAAUCAGGAUUUAUAUAUGCACAUAUUUAUAGCCAUCUGAACAUCAAUGAAAGGAGAAAUUCUGCUAUGCUGAAAUCAGGAUUUAUUCAGAAUAUAUAUGCAGGAUAUGGAAUUUGCAGGAAACUAAUUACACAUUACUGCUGUAACUACGUACAAUUUUGUUUCUUUUCUAUAUGCAAAGUUUGGCUACAUUUCGGUCUCUGCCUUAAGGCGAUCAGCUUUUGCUCGCGUUCCUAAUAACUUCCUGGGGCUUCGAAACAGCAUGUCCAAAAAUGGUAUGCAUACUUUGCUAUGAGUUAAUUAAUAUUAUCUCUUAUCCAAUUUGUGAAUGACAGCAAUUAACAGAGGUGGAAGACAGAAGCCAUAGAGAAAUGUGAUGUGAUGGUAUAUACAAAAAUCUUCCUCAAGUUUCCAUCUAAGUUUUGGCCUUUUGGGGUGGAGAAAGAGGUCUUCAUCUAUGCACAUGACAGGAGAGGCUACUACACAUCAGUUUAGGAGAACAGAAACAGUCGCAUAGCAAACAGAAGAGCAGCCUGUCAGCCUGAACACACAACACAGCAGCCAGCAGAGCAGCCACCAGCACAAGACCAGGAUAGCUCUUGCUGGAACUCAGACAAUAUGCUGUUUUUGAAGAAAAUAUAUAUGUUAGUGUUUAUAUGUCCAUUUUGUUUUAGUUUUUUAAAGUGUAA